rnacentral:ncRNA from 1 species
CCCCGUCCCGACGCUCUCCCCCCCCCAGCGUUGGGACUCUCCCCGAGCCGGGCUCCGGCGCUCCUCCCCCCCCCGGAGCGCCGGAGCCCGGCUCCCCC